AUUGAACGCUGGCGGCAGGCCUAACACAUGCAAGUCGAGCGAGCGGCGGACGGGUGAGUAAUGUCUGGGAAACUGCCUGAUGGAGGGGGAUAACUACUGGAAACGGUAGCUUAUUCCGCAUUCCAUCAGAUGUGCCCAGAUGGGAUUAGCUAGUAGGUGGGGUAACGGCUCACCUAGGCGACGAUCCCUAGCGGGACGGAAAGGAUGACCAGCCACACUGGAACUGAGACAAGGUCGGGACGCCGACGGAAGGCAGCGGUGGGAAAUAUUGGGAAAAGGGCGCAGGCUGGAUGCAGCCAUGCCGCGUGUGUGAAGAAGGCCUUCGGGUUGUAAAGCACUUUCAGCGGUGAGGCGUUACCCGCAGAAGAAGCGCCGGCUAACUCCGUGCCAGCCGCCGCGGUAAUAC
rnacentral:rRNA from 1 species